CUCCUGGACAGUUGAAGAUCAGUGUGGGUCUACGUCUGGACAGUUCAAGGGUCAGUAGUGUGCGUCUACUUCUCCCCACAGUUAAUAAGGAUCAGGCAGGGAGAUCUCGUCCAUGGUGGACAGGCAGGGAGAGUCAGGCAGGAGAGUCCAGUCAGGGAGAGUCCUCAUCCAUGGUGGACAGACAGGAGAGAGUCAGGCCAGGGAGGAGUCUCGUCCAUGGUGGACAGGCAGGGAGAGUCUCGUCCAUGGUGGUCAGGCAGAGAGAGUCAGGCAAGGAGAGUCAGGCCAGGGGAGAGUCAGUGCCAGGGUUCCCUCGUCCAUGGUGGACAGCAGGGAAGUCUCGUCGAUGGUGGAACAGGCGGGAGGUCUCGUCCAUGUGGGUCAGGCAGGGAGAGUCAGGCAGGGAGAAGUCAGGCAGGAGAUCAGGCCAGGGAAUCUCGUCCUGGGGGACAAGGCAGGGAGCGAGUCAGGCAGGGAGAGUCUCGUCAUGGUGGACGGCAGGAGUCUCCGUCCAUGGGUGGACAGGCAGGGGAGUCGUCCAUGGUGGACAGGCCAGGGGGAGUCUCGUCCCAUGGGUGAACGCAGGGCAGUCUCGUCCAUGGUGGACAGGCAGGGAGAGUCCUCGUCCAUGGUGGUCACAGGGAGUCAGGCAGGGAAGAGUCAGGCAGGGAGAGUCAGGCAGGGAGAAGUCAGGCAGUGGAAGUCAGCAGGGAGGUCCUCGUCCAUGGUUGACAGGGCGGCAGGAGGUCUCGUCCUGGUGGUCAGGCGGGAGAGUCUCGUCCAUGGUGGUCAGGCAGGGAGAGUCGCGUCCAUGGUGCAGGCAGGGAGAGUCUCGUCCAUGGUGACAGGCAGCAAGGGAGCGUCUCGUCCAUGGUGGACAGGCAGGGAGCGUCUCGUCCAUGGUGGCAGGCAGGGAGAGUCUCGUCCCAUGGUGGACAGGCAGGGAGAGUCUCGCCAGGUGGAACAGGCAGGAGUC
rnacentral:lncRNA from 1 species